rnacentral:rRNA from 1 species
UUAGUGGCGGACGGGUAGAGUAACGCGUGGAGAACCUGCCUUUAGUCUGGGGGAGUAACAGUUAGAAAUGACUGCUAAUACCGCAUAAGCGCACACUGGGGCAUCCCAGAGUGUGAAAAACUCCGGUGGAUAGAGAUGGCUCCGCGUCAGAUUAGCCAGUUGGCGGGGUAACGGCCCACCCAAAGCGACGAUCUGUAGCCGGCCUGAGAGGGCGAUCGGCCACAUUGGGACUGAGACACGGCCCAAACUCCUACGGGAGGCAGCAGUGGGGAAUAUUGCACAAUGGGGGAAACCCUGAUGCAGCGACGCCGCGUGAGUGAUGAAGUAUUUCGGUAUGUAAAGCUCUAUCAGCAGGGAAGAAAAUGACGGUACCUGACUAAGAAGCCCCGGCUAAAUACGUGCC